CUUUGCGUGGAGAUACUGUGUCCAUAAACCACGUCAUGAGGAGGUGGUGGUGGUGGACAACGUGAGGAGAGAGGUGGUUGUAUUUUAAGACCGUUAAAUGCUCUACUAACAAAAAAGCUGUUAGAAUUGUCAUGAACAUCAACACAUAUCAUUCAGUGACUUCAACAAAGUAAUCGCCCACCAGCUUGGGAGUGUUCUGCAGUCUGCACUCACUGGUGACUUCCACGGUGUCUACAAUAGAAACCCCAUAGGCAUCGACUGGCAGGUGCGAGCCCACUCUCUCCAGCCUGAAGGGGUAGAGAGGACCAGGAGUCACAGACAAGACCUCCCCCACCUGCUCAUAUUGCGGGGGAAGGAUGUGAACAGAGCAAAGAUAUGUACUGGUCUCUUACCUAGCUGUCUAACUAUUAUGGGACAAUAGACAUUAAUAGAUACUGGUUGAUUCAUUCUAGAAUCCAACACUCCUUUCAAAUGUUUUUAUAUCUAUAGGUGGAUUUCAGGAUCCGACCCUAUAUAACCCCUGGCUUUCAGCAUGUGGAAAAACCCAGUCCCCUUUAACAAGUAUACAUCUCCUACACUGGUCAGCAACAGCCAGGCUCUGCUGAGGCCUCUGGACCACAUGGGGCGGAUAGCUUAGAAUAAUGUUUGAUCCAGGGCCUACAUUCAUCUGUACACUAAGUUUGGGAUCUCGGAGGAAGAUUUCCUGAACAUGUAAUCUCUAGCGACAGUCAAUUUUGGACAAGUAAAAUACUGUUUGGGAUUCAAUCCGACCGCAGAUUUGGACAAUGCACUUUAAAGGUCAUUUCCGAUAGUCAUCAUAUGCAGCGUUUACUGUGAAUGUGUUCUCUGAACAUUGCCUAUAAAACAUGCAUUGCAGACAAAGCGCAAUCAUAUUGUAUUCCUGCCUAAGCCAAUUGACUUGCAGAGGUGAUACUAUAUUGGCAUGUUAAGAACAGGAGAUUGGUACAAGUAGAGGACAUGUGUGUAAUGGUCAAAGGAGUCAUGUUGAAUGAAUAUGUACAUUUGAGGGGUAUAAAAACAUUUUAUAUGAACAA